UUGCCCUACGGGGCGCAGCAGUAGGGAAUAUUGCUCAAUGGGGGAAACCCUGAAGCAGCAACGCCGCGUGAGGGAAUAAGGCCCUACGGGUCGUAAACCUCUUUUGCCGGGGAGCAAGGGCGGGGACGUGUCCCGGCCCGGAGAGUACCCGGAGAAAAAGCAUCGGCUAACUCCGUGCCAGCAGCCGCGGUAAUACGGAGGAUGCGAGCGUUAUCCGGAUUUAUUGGGUUUAAAGGGUGCGUAGGCGGGCUUUUAAGUCAGCGGUAAAAAUUCGGG
rnacentral:rRNA from 1 species